rfam:Pantoea dispersa strain SA5 contig_10, whole genome shotgun sequence.
CGCCGCGCCCGCUGCGCGGUGUCUUUUUUCCACUGCAACAAGGGGUCUGCCCGUG